GCAAGUCGAGCGGUAACUAGAAGCUUGCUUCUGAUGACGAGCGGCAAACGGGUGCGUAACACGUAUGUAACUUACCCCUAACAGAAAGAUAGCCCAUGGAAACGUGGAUUAAUAUUUCAUAAUACUAGAACCGCAUGGUUCGAAGUUAAAAGAUCCGUCGGUUAGGGAUGGACAUGCGGCCUAUUAGCUAGUUGGUAAGGUAAUGGCUUACCAAGGCAACGAUAGGUAGGGGGCGUGAGAGCGUGAUCCCCCACACGGGCACUGAGACACGGGCCCGACUCCUACGGGAGGCAGCAGUAAGGAAUAUUGGUCAAUGGAGGAAACUCUGAACCAGCCAUGCCGCGUGCAGGAAGACGGCCCUCUGGGUUGUAAACUGCUUUUAUAUGCAAAGAAAAACAUCUUUUCUAGGGUGUCUGACGGUAGCAUACGAAUAAGGACCGGCUAACUCCGUGCCAGCAGCCGCGGUAAUACGGAGGGUCCAAGCGUUAUCCGGAAUCACUGGGUUUAAAGGGUGCGUAGGUGGCUAUUUAAGUCAGAAGUGAAAUCUUGCAGCUCAACUGUAAAACUGCUUUUGAAACUGAAUAACUUGAAUAUUUUUGAUGUGGGCGGAAUGAGUCAUGUAGCGGUGAAAUGCGUAGAUAUGACUCAGAACACCGAUUGCGAAGGCAGCUCACAAAGAAAUAUUGACACUGAGGCACGAAAGCGUGGGUAGCGAACAGGAUUAGAUACCCUGGUAGUCCACGCCGUAAACGAUGUUUACUCGUUAUUUAUGCGAUAUAGUAUAAGUGACCAAGCGAAAGCGUU
rnacentral:rRNA from 1 species